GCGGAAGUGGCGGAAUUGGUAGACGCACCAGAUUUAGGUUCUGGCGCCGUAAGGUGUGAGAGUUCAAGUCUCUCCUUCCGUUCGA
rnacentral:tRNA from 1 species